GUCAACAUCCCAGUUGAUGUCACAGCCAACAGCCUGCAUCAAGUGCCUGACACGAGCCUUGGAAGAGGCGGCAAGGGUGGCAGUUCAGGGACAGACUGCCUGGGCUGGCGUUCUGAUUUGCCGAAGGUAGUAAGCAACUAUCUCUGUGACCUUGAACAAAGUACUGAACUGCAUCUCUGUAAAAUGGGGAGAAUAAUCAUUCUACUUCAUAGGAUUGUUAUACGCUAUAAGCGCUAACAUAUGUACAACCCUGAGACCUGAGCCUAGCUCACAAUAAGGGCUCUGAGUUUGCUGUUGUUAUUGUUGUUGUUGAUUAUUACGGUUGUUGUUGUUUUUAUUGUUAUUAGAAAGACUCCACUUUGUCAGGCUGCUCUGUCUCCAUCCUAUUGCCCUCUCCAGGUGCCUAUACAGAGUCAGCCCUUGUGCUGCUCAUUUACAAAUAGCUGCUUGGUGUCUCCCCUCAUCUCCACUCCUCUGGAUUCCAGAACUUCCCACACAGGAGCCCAGCCCUGGACAGUGACGGUGACCCAUGGAGAAUGCAUCAUGCCUGUCAGGGUCCUGUUGGUUCAGCGGCUGGGGAGGCAGUGCCCUGCUGGGAACGAUCACUUCCCAUGAAGAUGGAUGGCUUUCUCUGUCCCGGCGACACUAACUGCGAGAGAUGGGGGAACCUGCUGCAGGAGGGAAGGGGCAGUUUGUAUUAAGUGGUCACUGGGCCCAGUGGGGAAGUAUGAGGGGGGCAUGGAGGCUUAUUUCACUGUUUCAAUAACACCAGCCUUGCAGACUGACAAGACUUCUCCCCUCGGAGAGCUAACUGCUCAGCCGUCCACGUGUUUCUUUGCACACUGGUAAAGCCCAGGGGUUACCGGCAUGCAUUUUGGAAUCAGCUGGCUUGUGAAUAAGUCCUUGCUUUGCCGUUUCCUUGGCUGCUAAAUUUGGACCCACUAUUUAACUUCCCUUUGGUCUCUGUUUCUUAAUGAAAUAAUAGUAUCCACCUUGUUAAGUUACGCUGUGAAGUCUGAGAGACCUGCAUGUGAAGCCCUAAGAGAGGCUGGAGAGCAGGGGUGCCAAACGUGUUCAGUAAUGGAUCAGCAGAUCAAUCUUUUGGGCUCUGUGGUCCGUAAGAUCUCUGUUGCAGAUACUCAACUCUGCCAGUGUAGCCCCAAAGCAGCCAUAGAUAAUAGAUACAUAAUCAGGCAUGGUUGUGUUCUAAUAAAACUUUACAUAAAAAGCAGGCAACGGUGAGAUUUUGCCUGUGGGUUGUAGUUUGUAAGCCCUGGACUAAAGCCUAGUCCUCAAGAGCAGGGGCCAUGGAUCCCGGCUGCACCUGGGUUUAGAUCUCAGCUCUGACACUCACAAGCUGUGUGAGCUUUCUUCACCUGCUGGCAGUUGUAAGAAUUUUGUGAGUCAUACAUUGAUAGGCCAAGGACUUGCAAUGGUGUUUAGGAAACGUUAAACACAACUUAAGUGUUUGCUCUCAUUUUCAUUAUUACAGAGUGAGUAUAAAACAGGUCCCAGGCCAGGUGCGGUGGCUCAUGCCUGCCUUGGCCUCCCACAGUGUGGGGAUUACAGUCUUGAGCCACCGGGCCCGUCCAUGAGGUAAAAUCUUUAAAGUGCCUGUCAUCUUAGUAGGUGCUAAAUACAGGUUACUACUAGACUUCAUAACUUCAAAUUCUGUACGUGGACCUGUUCUUUUGUCUCUUCUGAGUACAGUCUCCUGAAGAUUGUUCUGACCAAACCUUUCUAUGGAGAAAACAGAGCUGUUAUUGCUUUAAGUGAUUUGUAGGGUGUUUUGGUUUCAAUAAAAUGUGUAUGGAGAGGUGACAUUGUCUUAGGGAUCAAAAAGAUUAAACAGCAAACCUGCUAUUUUUCUGUGUACACUUUCAGGAAAAUCAUUUCAAUUUAUGUUUUAAAAGACGCUAAGUGACAGCGAUGCCUCAUUUGAAAUCAGAAAGAAUGAACUUUCAUUCAACACAACCAUAUGCUUUCUUUGAUGGCUUGAAUGGUUAGGGAAUAUGUGACAUUAAAUUCAGCAGUUUCCCA
rnacentral:lncRNA from 1 species